GCUGGUGGCUGUGAUAAAAGGGAAGACUAGUGUUACGAAAGGAAUACAUCUCACAAAGGGACUCAUGUGAUGUGGAUAUAGGUGUUGUUGGAUGAGGCUAUGGCUGCUGCAGAAUUCCAGGGUACAGAUGCUGCCGCCGCCGCUGCUCACUGGCAGGAAAGAUGCCAUACUUUGGAGGCAUCCCUGGAAAAAUUUCGUUUGCAAACGCUUAGGAUACGGGAAGCAUUGGGAGAGCAGGUGAG
rnacentral:lncRNA from 1 species